rnacentral:rRNA from 1 species
ACGAACGCUGGCGGCGUGCUUAACACCUGCAAGUCGAACGCUGAAGCACCAGCUUGCUGGUGUGGAUGAGUGGCGAGCGGGUGAGUAAUACGUGAGUAACCUGCCCUUGACUCUGGGAUAAGCCCGGGAAACUGGGUCUAAUACUGGAUGCUACAUGUCACCGCAUGGUGGUGUGUGGAAAGGGUUUACUGGUCUUGGAUGGGCUCACGGCCUAUCAGCUUGUUGGUGAGGUAAUGGCUCACCAAGGCGACGACGGGUAGCCGGCCUGAGAGGGUGACCGGCCACACUGGGACUGAGACACGGCCCAGACUCCUACGGGAGGCAGCAGUGGGGAAUAUUGCACAAGGGGCGAAAGCCUGAUGCAGCGACGCCGCGGGAGGGAUGACGGCCUUCGGGUUGUAAACCUCUUUCAGCAGGGAAGAAGCCACAAGUGACGGUACCUGCAGAAGAAGCGCCGGCUAACUACGUG